GUCCCUGUGGCGCAGUGGCAGUGUGCUUUGCUCUUGUGGAUGGGGCAACUUGUGCAUGUCCUAUGUGAUAAGUUGUCUUAUCUAGUGUUGGAGAGGUUGGGGGUUCAAUUCCUCUUGGGGGUG